ACUCCUACGGGAGGCAGCAGUGGGGAAUAUUGCACAAUGGGCGAAAGCCUGAUGCAGCAACGCCGCGUGAGGGAUGACGGCCUUCGGGUUGUAAACCUCUUUUAGUAGGGAAGAAGCGAAAGUGACGGUACCUGCAGAAAAAGCACCGGCUAACUACGUGCCAGCAGCCGCGGUAAUACGUAGGGUGCAAGCGUUGUCCGGAAUUAUUGGGCGUAAAGAGCUCGUAGGCGGUUUGUCGCGUCUGCUGUGAAAUCCCGAGGCUCAACCUCGGGUCUGCAGUGGGUACGGGCAGACUAGAGUGCGGUAGGGGAGAUUGGAAUUCCUGGUGUAGCGGUGGAAUGCGCAGAUAUCAGGAGGAACACCGAUGGCGAAGGCAGAUCUCUGGGCCGUAACUGACGCUGAGGAGCGAAAGCAUGGGGAGCGAACAGGAUUAGAUACCCUGGUAGUCCAUGCCGUAAACGUUGGGAACUAGAUGUGGGGACCAUUCCACGGUCUCCGUGUCGCAGCUAACGCAUUAAGU
rnacentral:rRNA from 1 species